rnacentral:misc_RNA from 1 species
GAUGAAGAACGUAGCGAAAUGCGAUAAGUAGUGUGAAUUGCAGAAUUCAGUGAAUCAUCGAAUCUUUGAACGCACAUUGCGCCCCUUGGUAUUCCAUGGGGCAUGCCUGUUCGAGCGUCAUUUGCACCUUCAAGCUUUGCUUGGUGUUGGGUGUUUGUCUCGCCUUUGCGUGUAGACUCGCCUUAAAAUAAUUGGCAGCCGGCGUAUUGAUUUCGGAGCGCAGUACAUCUCGCGCUUUGCACUCAUAACGACAGCGUCCAAAAGUACAGUUUACACUCUUGACCUCGGAUCAGGUAGGGAUACCCGCUGAACUUAAGCAUAUCAAUAAGCGGAGGA